GAAAAACGUUAAGCUUUCAAAAUGUGGUUGCAGCUCACACUGACAGAUAAAUAGUUACAGUGAGAUGCGUCUGUGAAUGUUGGGUUGAAAUCAGUACCUAGAGCUUCGUACUGACUCUGAUCUGCCACAGAGAGAGUGAGAGAAAUGUUUCGUUAGUCCGUUUUGGGCAUCUUUGAUUUUAAUACUUAUUGUUUGGCAUUUGUUGAUGUGCAUAUUACCUUAAAAUCUGUUUCAUAUUUUUGUCUAACAUCUUAAAACGAUAGUUCAUUUUUUGAAGUGGGAUUGGAUGAGAUAUUCAUCCAUAGUUGGUAUAUUAUAGAGCAGGAUGAUUUUGAAAAAAUGCUUAAUUGUGAUGAUCUUUUCAGUGACAUUACAGUUGCGAAAUGAUUUGCAAUUUCUGAGGGAAAUAUAAUUUUGUAUAAUUGUUUUCUUAUUUUCAUUGAAAAAAUUAAGAUGAUUAUGGCGCGAUUCUUCCAGGGAUGUGUAACGGAUGUUUGUUUUUUUAAGUCUCUAGAUUAUGAUGUGUAGGCCAGGACAUCUUUGCAGCAGAACAUUUCAUUUAAAAUAAUUUUUUAAGAUUUAAGAAAUUUAAGAAAUAUUGUACCUCCUGUGAUUUCAAAAUCGCAGUAGGCUGUAUUGCAAUUUUGAUAAAAUUUUGAUUAAUUGUUCAGCCCUGGCACAUUAUUUAAUUACUAGAUCUAUUAGUGAUGUAGGCUACUAGUUAUACACUAAUUUAAAAACACAUUUUUUUCUUAUUAUCUUAGGUUCUGGCCUAUGGGGUGGCAGGGCAAGAUCUGCAAGUCUUUGUCUGCAACAAAGGAUCCAGGCUGAGUUUCACAGAAUCACAAUGGUGCAUCUUGAAUCAAAGUUCAUGUCCAAACUGGAUGAAUAUACUCCUCGACUUCUGAACCUCUUCCACUCCAAGGGCGGAAGCAUGGGAUUGAGACUGCAUGCUAUCCUACUCAAGACUCCAAACAAUCCUGACAUCAACAUGACCAGAGAUGUUAUCAUUCGAUGUUUGAUGCUGUACCUUGGGGAAUCUACAGAUCAACUCUUAAAAGAGUAUGAUUCUUUGCAAUUUGUCCCUAAAAGUGAGCUAAGAAAUGAUGGCCAAGACGUUGCUUUGUGAAUACGAAGACAUUUUUACAGAAAGACUGAGGCAAUGCAGAAUAAGAUAUUCAUCAAGACAGUGCCAAGAAGAAAUAAUAGUGUAAUGGAUUGAUUUAAUUUCAGAAACUUCUUUUAGAAA